rnacentral:rRNA from 1 species
AGAGUUUGAUUAUGGCUCAGAACGAACGCUGGCGGCAGGCCUAACACAUGCAAGUCGAGCGCGCCCUUCGGGGUGAGCGGCGGACGGGUUAGUAACGCGUGGGAACGUACCCUUUGGUAGGGAAUAGCCACUGGAAACGGUGAGUAAUACCCUAUGAGCCCUUCGGGGGAAAGAUUUAUCGCCAAAGGAUCGGCCCGCGUUAGAUUAGGUAGUUGGUGGGGUAAUGGCCUACCAAGCCUACGAUCUAUAGCUGGUUUUAGAGGAUGAUCAGCAACACUGGGACUGAGACACGGCCCAGACUCCUACGGGAGGCAGCAGUGGGGAAUCUUGGACAAUGGGGGCAACCCUGAAUCCAGCCAUGCCGCGUGAGUGAAGAAGGCCUUAGGGUCGUAAAGCUCUUUCGCCUGUGAAGAUAAUGACGGUAGCAGGUAAAGAAACCCCGGCUAACUCCGUGCCAGCCGCCGC